UUCUGUUUAGAUACUUUUUCUUUUCUUUCCAAACUUUUACUAGCAUCAACUGACUUCUGUAUUACUUUUCCUAAACUUUGAGUAACCUAGUCCUUUGUGCUUUUCCUUGUUGUAUCUUUCUCCUUAUUAUUCUGCUUUCCUUUUUUUCAUCAUUGAGUGCUUUAAAUAGAUUUUCAUUUUUGUAUUCAAUUUAACUUUGGUUGUGGUCGUAGUUCUCCUUUUUAUAUUUGUUUCUACUUUUAGUAAUCUAUUUUUGUUUGUAUUGAUUGUUUUCUGUCCUUCUACCACUUAGUAAUGUUUCUCUUUGAUUGGAUGUUAUCUCUGAAGUAUUCCACCUUUUUCCUUCUACAUGUUCUUACUCGUUCCCUUCAUCAUGUGCCUUUCCAUUUAGCUUAGGGUGGAUGUUCCAACAGUUCUCUUUAUCAUGACCUUGUAGGCAACAAUCUCUACAGUAUUUUGGCAUGUA
rnacentral:lncRNA from 1 species